GCAAAGAAGGACUUUUACAGAAUCUUUUAACUCCAGAAAAGGCAGUAAGAAUCUUGAAACAUAGGAUUUUCAAGCUGGAGCACUCAUAAGAGACGAAGCUGCUACAACUUGCCUCCCCAGCUCCCAGAGCCACACAGCCUCUGCUGCCAAAAGCAUUCUUCCACCGCAGCACGCGCGGCAGGUGACAUAGGACUGGAAGAACUAAGGAUUAUGAAGAGGCCUGUGAUAUAGACCUUUCAGCUUGAAUUGAUAAGGGAGGAGGGUGCAGAACAAUCUAAAACUCUGCUCAAGAACAAGAUGCAGCCAACACUUUUCUUCAAAAGUUUGGAGGAGGCCCCUUCUUGCAGCUGCCAGCUCUGUACAGAAAACAGGGAGAAGCCAGAUCUGUGAUGGAUUCAUUCCAGGAUAGAACAGCAGAGCACACUAAAUCAUCUUCAUCCAACUACUUAGCUGCAUUUAUUGAAUGUAAAUAUUUUAGGGUUAAUUUCUACAUAUACAUAUAGAAUGUAUUUGGUUAUCCACUGAUCAUUUUAAAACUGUAAGGCAGAUCUUCAAGUAGCAUAAGUUGCCUAAUUGUUCUGUGACAUCUGAAGAUAUGACUCACUGUUUCUUAAGCCAUCAUCUAAAUAUAUAGGACAUUUUCUGUGAAAUUUGGGGCACUCAAUUCUGCCACCAGUGAAUUGAACUCUUCAGAGUUGCAUGGCUGUGAGUGUAGUUUCAGUAAUGCAAUUUUAUUACAAACAAAAAGUGCAAUCUUGUAAAUCAUAAUUUGUGGUUUUUUCUCAACAUCAAGUACAGUAUUUUUUCUUUAGAAAGUUUUAGUGACAAUCACAGAAUCAAGCUUUUUGUUCUAGGAGCCAGUCCAGUCUGCACAUGAUUAAAAAAAGUGAUAAAGUAGCAAUCCCUGGAGCAGAGGCCACAGGUCACACAUCUCUUUUAACACCCUGUUGUAGCUGAUCCUUCUUGCAUAGCUAAUUGCCUCUGGUAAAUCCAAAAAGCAACAGAAAAGAACAGGCUAACUUUGCAUGUUCCUGUCAGUAAAACAUCACAAAGAAAUGUUCCUAGCACUCCUGAAGUGCUCAGGAAAAUAACCUAGCAAGAUGUUUAACUGAAGUAUAAACCCCUUAGAGAACCUAAGCAGCAAAACCUCCCUAUACCUUUUAAUGUGUCUUUAAAUCAUGAACACUUUUUUUUUUUUUUUUAAAGCACCUCAUGCAUGAUUGACCUUUUGGACGUCACACUGUGCCAUCCUAAUCCAAAAUCAUGGUAACUACCACCAGUGCCCACGUGGCUGAUUACACUGCCCUUAAUUAAAUGAUUUACCCAAUUCUGCCAUAGGAAGCCCUGUCAGCAAGGGUGCUUUGUCCCUUUGAUCCUAGGUGCAGGAUGCUGGGAGGCACAUCCUCCCUGUAUGGCAGAUGAAAUGCAGCCAUACACUUUGCCUCAGGCAGCUGCUGUCGGAGGAAGGAGCAAGUGAUGAUCCCGAGCAGCUCUGGAGACAUUUCCAGUGUGAAUCAUUCUGGAGAUGUGAGCUGCAUGCAGCAUUACACUCAUUGCUGGGAAAAGAUUUCCUCCAUGCCCUUGAUGGCUAGAAGGCUUAGACGUGAGCAGCAGACAGGAUUCAGCUUACAUUUGACACUGAGGAUGAAGGACAACUUUCACAGCCUGGAAGAGCUUUGCAGAGCCCCUUUAUUUUCUCAUUGCUCCGCACCUGUAGAUGUGUAGACCAAUAUAACACCACUGUACCAGGAGAAGUGACUUGGGAGAUGUCGUAGGCCAGGGACCCAUGCUUCAUCUUAGGGAGUGGAGGAAAAGCAGCCAGGAGCCACCACUGUGCAGAAUUCACAUUUGGCUGCAUGAGCUGCCCGCAAGCUCAGUAUCCUUCUCUGUCUAAAAACACUUUCAGCAGAGGGAGGGGGAGUACGCACAAAGCCUGUUUAAUUAGGCGUUGUGUGGAAAGGACGAACUCCGUCCCAAGUGAGAUGGAGAAUUGCAUGUCUCCUCCAGAUGGUGAAGUUUAUUAUUUUUUUUCUCCAAGGCAGGAGCAAGUAAGCAGGUGUGAGUAUGGAGCCUACCUGUAUUGGUUUUAAUCAGCAACUUUAAGCAAACUCAGUGUUCUCAUCAGAAAAGGGGAAAAAUAAACAGCUGAGCACUGUGAUUCAUUUACACUUCAAAUAUACUUUGAGUUGGUUAUUCCUCAAUUAAUCAAAUAGCUGGUGUAUCCCUAAAGUAGUAUAAAGUGACACGCUGUGUGAAAUCAAUUUUCCCUUCCAAAAUCAUUAAAUUCAGUAGCCUGUGACUACAUCCCUGCUAAUUCUAGUACCGGUCCUUUCAUCCUCCAUUAACUUUGGCACGCCUAACAGGCUGUCAAAAAUAAUUUCCCAGAACGUAAAUAAUUCAGAAAUUAAAAAUUAAUAAAUAAUAACAGAGAGCUACUGGGAGAUAGACUGGGUCAAUUAGUCAGCUCUGCAUUCUGUUUCUUCGCAGCAGGGGGGCAGCCACAUUCGUUACUAGAAUCUUUCCUCCGAUUCCUAGGUCUGAUUUACAGCUCUUCAUUACUGGAUCCAGUCAGACACAAUUACCUCCAUCACUAUCUCAGUUCCUAACUUCAAAGAAACACACAUUUUCUUGUCUGCUUUUUUUCUCCUUGCAGCAGCCUCAGCUUGACGUCCCAGGAAUUUCUUCCACGCAGACUAAUUAAUAAGACUUUGACUUAUCAUAUUCACUUCUCUUCUUUGAUGUCCUACCUUAGUCAAUCAUCCUAUUUAAUUAGAAUUUCAAUGAUAACUUUACUUAUCUCAUGGCUAGAUGUAAAUUAAAAUAACGGGAUUUUAAUUCUCUUUCUUACGGGGUUAUGACAUUUCUGACAGAAAAAGUUUCGACCCAAAUAUGAUGUUAUGUACUUCCUAUACUAGGAGUGCAUUCCACUAAAUUGUUUUUCCCUUUGCUACAAAAUAAUUUUGCUUGUUUAACAAGCUCUACUGAAAUGGAAAUGAACUACAGUUUCUUCUAAUGUAAUUUGCACAGACCUGGGUUGUGGAAGGGUUAUGUUGAUAUAAAUGAGUAUAAUCAGAUUGUGACACAUGCCACAUAGUUAAGGAGGAAAGGCAAUGGGAUUUUUAAGAAAAAAAUAGCUCUGGAGAGAAAAUGGACUGUAGGACCUCUUCUUCUUUCUGUUCUUUCCAGUUGUUACUAGUACUUUUCUGUUUCUCACUUCCUUCCCUCAUUUACAGACCUAAUCCUGCUGGUUGUACCAAUGCAGCACUUGAGGUUGGAUUCUGAUUUCAAUGAGACAUUUCUAAAGCACAUAUACAUCCACCAUUCAUAGAAAUAGUAUUGUGGCUAUGGCUUAACAGGAGCAGCAUGUCCCCCAGCUAUCACCUUUUUUUUACCUCUCUGCAGUACCCUAUAUAUGCUUGCACACAGGCUUACUUUCCAUCCCAUGCCUCUUAGAAUUCGCCAGUCUAGGCUGGUGCAAUAUCAAGUGAAUAUAAGUGAAAGCAACCUCUCAUUUUUCAAUUUAAGCUUAUGGUGUGGGCCUGGGAGAUCCCUGGGUGUGGGACAGGAGGGUGAGAGAAGGAAAGCGGGAUACUUUCUUGGAGUCCUGCUGAGCUCAUAGAGCUUUACUCAUUUAAGCACUCUUGCUCUUAUGCUGCUGGA